AUUGUAGGGGUUGGUGAGUCCAGCCUGCCCUCUCUGGAGAGAAUGGCCUGAACUGUGUUACAGGGCAGGCCAACUGUGAUGUACAGUUAGUAGUAGGGCAACACUUCUGAUCUUCUGUUGUUUCUAUUAAACUUGAACUGAGAAAAAAAAAA